rnacentral:rRNA from 1 species
GACAGAGGAUGCAAGCGUUAUCCGGAAUGAUUGGGCGUAAAGCGUCUGUAGGUGGCUUUUCAAGUCCGCCGUCAAAUCCCAGGGCUCAACCCUGGACAGGCGGUGGAAACUGCCAAGCUGGGGUACGGUAGGGGCAGAGGGAAUUUUCGGUGGAGCGGUGAAAUGCGUAGAGAUCGGAAAGAACACCAACGGCGAAAGCACUCUGCUGGGCCGACACUGACACUGAGAGACGAAAGCUAGGGGAGCGAAUGGG